rnacentral:lncRNA from 1 species
AGUGUAGCUGCCAGAUCACUAAUAGCGCGUGACCAGAAGUACCUGGAUCUGCACAAAAAAGUGUGCAGAAGAGUAGCAUGAGUACACCACAGUGGUACUCAGUAAGUGUCAAGCCUAACCUCGAUGGAGUAGUGACGAGGAAGAUUGAGGCCUUACUAGGACGAACAUAAGAAAUAAUGUAAGAAUAAAUAAAUAGUAGAUAAUGAAGUAAAUCCCGAAUAUCUAACAAGACGAUAAUUAAAAUAGAAUGGCUACAAGUACAGAUUACGAACACAAGCAAAUCACUCAAAACUCAGGAUUCCACAUGGAACUCCGGGAAUUGAACCCGCUGUCCAUUUAUACCAAUAUCAGAGGAUCUCCAGGGAAUCGAACCUGUAUUCUAUCAUAUCACUAACAGAGGAUCUCUGGGAAUUGAACCUGCAUUCCUUCAUACCAAUAACAGAGGAUCUCUGGAAAUUGAACCCGUAGUCUGUCAUGUUAAU